rnacentral:rRNA from 1 species
UACGUAGGGGGCGAGCGUUGUCCGGAGUUACUGGGCGUAAAGGGCGCGCAGGCGGUGUGCCGCGUUGUCGGUGCCAGCUCCUCGCUUACCGAGGGGAGUGCCGGGAAGACGGGUGCACUUGAGGGCCUCAGAGGGACAUAGAAUUCCGGGUGGAGUGGUGAAAUGCGUAGAGAUCCGGAGGAAUACCAAAGGCGAAGGCAGUGUCCUGGGAGGCAACUGACGCUGAGGCGCGAAAGCCAGGGGAGCGAACGGG